AACGAACGCUGGCGGCAUGCCUAACACAUGCAAGUCGAACGAGACCUUCGGGUCUAGUGGCGCACGGGUGCGUAACGCGUGGGAACCUGCCCUUAGGUUCGGAAUAACUCCCCGAAAGGGGUGCUAAUACCGGAUAAUGUCUUCGGACCAAAGAUUUAUCGCCUUUGGAUGGGCCCGCGUUGGAUUAGCUAGUUGGUAGGGUAAAGGCCUACCAAGGCGACGAUCCAUAGCUGGUCUGAGAGGAUGAUCAGCCACACUGGGACUGAGACACGGCCCAGACUCAUACGGGAGGAAGCAGGGGGGAAUAUUGGAAAAUGGGCGAAAGCCUGAUCCAGCAAUGCCGGGUGAGUGAUGAAGGCUUUAGGGUUGAAAAGCUCUUUUACCCGGGAUGAUAAUGACAGGACCGGGAGAAUAAGCCCCGGCUAACUCCGU
rnacentral:rRNA from 1 species